rnacentral:rRNA from 2 species
GGGCUGUAGUCGGUCCCAAGGGUUGGGCUGUUCGCCCAUUAAAGCGGUACGCGAGCUGGGUUCAGAACGUCGUGAGACAGUUCGGUCCCUAUCCGUCGUGGGCGUAGGAAAUUUGAGAGGAGCUGUCCUUAGUACGAGAGGACCGGGAUGGACGCACCGCUGGUGUACCAGUUGUUCUGCCAAGGGCAUAGCUGGGUAGCUAUGUGCGGAAGGGAUAAGUGCUGAAAGCAUCUAAGCAUGAAGCCCCCCUCAAGAUGAGAUUUCCCAUAGCGUAAGCUAGUAAGAUCCCUGAAAGAUGAUCAGGUUGAUAGGUUCGAGGUGGAAGCAUGGUGACAUGUGGAGCUGACGAAUACUAAUAGAUCGAGGACUUAACCAUAUAA